rnacentral:rRNA from 1 species
GCUGGCGGCGUGCUUAACACAUGCAAGUCGAACGCGCAGCAUUCUGUAGCAAUACAGGGUGUGGGCGCGUGGCGAACGGGUGCGUAACACGUGGAUAACCUUCCUUGAGGUGGGGAAUAACCCAGUGAAAAUUGGGCUAAUACCGCAUAACAUCGCGAUGGCACAUGCUGAUGCGAUCAAAGGCGCAAGUCGCCACAAGAGGGAUCCGCGGCCGAUUAGCUUGUUGGCGAGGUAAUGGCUCACCAAGGCAAUGAUCGGUAGCCGGACUGAGAGGUUGGCCGGCCACACUGGAACUGAGACACGGUCCAGACUCCUACGGGAGGCAGCAGUGGGGAAUCUUGCACAAUGGACGAAAGUCUGAUGCAGCAACGCCGCGUGGGGGAUGAAGCUUCUCGGAGUGUAAACCCCUUUCGACCCGGAAGAAUGCCCGCAAGGGUAUGACGGUACGGGUAUAAGAAGCCCCGGCUAACUACGUGCCAGCAGCCGCGGUAAUACGUAGGGGGCCAGCGUUGCUCGGAAUUACUGGGCGUAAAGGGU